rnacentral:lncRNA from 1 species
GGCAAGGCCAAGGCUUCUUGAAAGGCUGGUCAUGCCCCAGUGAUCAAUGAAGAACUCAGGGAUAUCCCAAAACUCAGGACUAUAAGAAAUUCUAUCUACAGGCACAAUGGGGGAGCAGGUACCAGGUGGCCAGCAUCCUAAAUGACUCUCAGCAGCUGCAGAGAAUGUAAAUAACAAGAGCUGCCUAUAAAUCUACCUCAGAAGACAAAGGGAAAAGCAAAACUCUGCCCAGGAAGACCUUACUUUACAAACCAGCUCAACCAUAUUUACCAGCCUUCCUGUGGUCAUUUGUCUGAGCUCCAGCUAGUGAAGUAUGAGUAGAACGGACAUGCACCACUUCCAGACCUGGCACCGGCAAACCCCCCAUGGCAACCCUCCAACCCUUUCCUCAACAACUGGACCACGCUGGAAAGGACUGAGGAUCUAGAGGAGGACAGGGCUGUAAUAUGGAAGGAGUUUGGUUUCUGAAGGACCAUGUAGCAGGCCACCUGCAGGGCGGGAACAUCUUUAAUAGGUUUGGAAUAGCAAGAAAUAAACUGGUCUUGUAUUAAACAA